UACGUAGGGUGCAAGCGUUAAUCGGAAUUACUGGGCGUAAAGCGUGCGCAGGCGGUUGUGCAAGACAGGUGUGAAAUCCCCCGGGCUCAACCUGGGAAUUGCAUUGGAGACUGCAAGGCUAGAAUCUGGCAGAGGGGGGUAGAAUUCCACGUGUAGCAGUGAAAUGCGUAGAGAUGUGGAGGAACACCGAUGGCGAAGGCAGCCCCCUGGGUCAAGAUUGACGCUCAUGCACGAA
rnacentral:rRNA from 1 species